AGUGAACGCUGGCGGUAGGCCUAACACAUGCAAGUCGAACGGCAGCACAGUAAGAGCUUGCUCUUACGGGUGGCGAGUGGCGGACGGGUGAGGAAUACAUCGGAAUCUACUUUUUCGUGGGGGAUAACGUAGGGAAACUUACGCUACUACCGCAUACGACCUACGGGUGAAAGCAGGGGAUCUUCGGACCUUGCGCGAUUGAAUGAGCCGAUGUCGGAUUAGCUAGUUGGCGGGGUAAAGGCCCACCAAGGCGACGAUCCGUAGCUGGUCUGAGAGGAUGAUCAGCCACACUGGAACUGAGACACGGUCCAGACUCCUACGGGAGGGAGCAGUGGGGAAUAUUGGGAAAUGGGCGGAAGCCUGAUCCAGCCAUACCGCGUGGGUGAAGAAGGCCUUCGGGUUGUAAAGCCCUUUUGUUGGGAAAGAAAAGCAGCAGGUUAAUACCCCGCUGUUCUGACGGUACCCAAAGAAUAAGCACCGGCUAACUUCGUG
rnacentral:rRNA from 1 species